ensembl:lncRNA
GUGAGAAUCGAUUCGUUGAUGCUACUAAAUCUCGAGAAGAAUCAUUCGGCGUCUCGAACGCCCUUCAGACGGGCCUAAACAUCCAAUACAAGUAGCACUUUUUUUUAGGGUACACGUCGAAAUUAUUUUCUAUCAACAAGAUGAACACAGGAAAGCGUUAAUUAUGCAUUUAUUUAUAUGGCAUUACGCUGAUAUCAAGUCGCAUAAGCCUUUACCAAUCGUCCAUGUCCACUCGUGUACAUACAUCAUACCGCAUAAGCGUUUGCUUUGAAGAAGCCAAAAUGAAUUUUUUUGUACUUCGUGUGUGUACCAUCUUUGUCAGUCACAUGACCUGCGGUGGCAUUAAACGCAUCUCAGAAUAUGGACACAUUUUGGUAACUCCACUCAUCACAUCAGGACGCUUCAUGCGGCGUGCGGGGAGCCGCGCGUUUAGGACAAGAGUCCUUACGAGGAGGACCCGAGAGGAAGCAUCUGCGAGGGAUAAAUAAACUGAUCCGAGAUCAGGAUUUGUGAAACUUGCCUGAAGGAGAGGGUCACAAUGACGACGGGAGGCAACAGGAUUUCGGGAAAAUCGCAUGGUGACACCCCCCCCCGCGUCAUCUCAUACAGAUUAAAGGUCCCGCUGCCAGAGGAGCAGCACACAUUCAUCACCACCAUCAGGACCACCUUCCUCCUCAACAAGACCAUCAGACGCCAUCACCACCCUUUUGGAAAACCUGUGCCUUCAACCAGCCCCAGCAGUGACACUUUGUUUUUGGAGAGACUCUUUAUCAAGAGCUGCAGAGGAAUGCCAGAGACCAUUUCUACAAGCUGUUUUCUGUACUGGCAGAGGACCAGGCUGCCCUCCCUUGGAACUAUGCAGGGUGUGUCACGUGCAAUUUUCCUGCCAUGCUCUGGACAUUUUAAUGACACAACGUGAUACUGAUUUACUUUAUAUCGAGAGAAAUUCCUAUCUGUGCAAUAUCGGUCUAUAUUAUGGUGAAGCUGUUACGUCGAAGUAGACUUUGGAUAACUUUUGCUCACGCUUAUUUUUUUAAAGCUGUUUCUCCUGAUUUCUAUUUUUCUAAAAUAAACAAAUAAAUAAACGCUACCAGUGGACGUGAAACCCAAGCACAGCGGAGGUCGUACUCUCAGAAUAUAUAUAUAUAUAUAUAUAUAUAUAUAUAUAUUUAAAAAAAAACAUACGGUCUCCUUUCUUUUGAACGGCCAAAGCCAUAGCCUGCAAACCUCAACAUUGGCUUCAUUUGGUCAGGAGCUCGCAAAGGAAAGGACUGAUGAAGCACUGUGUGCGCUCUUGCUUACUUUCUUCUUAAUCCUGCAGUAACACUUAAGUAUUUAAGUAAGCCAGAGGUGGAUGUGUGGGAAGAUUUGGUCUUGAUUUGGAUGUGAAGUUAACCGAAUCGAGUAGUUAGCCAUUCUCUAUACCUUUUUGUGGCCUGUUUUUUUUUUUUUUUUUUUUUUUUGUAUUUCUUCCUGCAUAUCAAGGCAUUAUCUGGUGUUUGUACAUGUGCGAGUGUGUUCGAAUGCAGGUUUACGAAUAGACUGUUGGUUAUGUUCUCACCCUCUUUACCUGAGACCUUGUGAAUAAGUGGAAAUUGUGUCUCUUAAGCUGCUCUCCUCGUGCCGUGUGGACUGGAUAUACCCAGCAUUAUAGAAAUUACUGUCCUUCAAAAUGUCCUUGAACAGUCAAUUCAUCCAGUACCUCGCAUGCAGUGUUACAUUUUACGAUUAGAUGUAACGGUCACUAGUACUGUGUUUUGUCAUGGGUUUUAAUUAAGUCAGUGUAAAGUCAACAGAUAUUCCCGACUUGACAAAGGAACAUGUCUUUUGCCAUUUUUAUUUUGAACUCGGGGAACGUGGCAACGGUCAGACAUAUUCAUUGUAAUCUUCAUAAUUUACAGGGUGAUGCAAGGUGAUGGAAACAUUCUCACAACAUUCUCAAAACUGUAAUACAUCGAUGCAAGUAGUGUGUAAUUAUGGAUAUUCCAGUGUGAGCACAAUGGAAAGCAGUCUUCAGGGUUUUACAGGG